rnacentral:misc_RNA from 1 species
ACACAUACCGCUUCAUCUCUGCUGCCCCUCUGUCUUGCCUUUCCCCGUCCAGCACGCGUAUGCGCACCAUGGCAACAGCGACGGUACAUGGGCGAGAGCGAGAGAACAAGCAAAGAAUACACACACACAGGGUAACACCCUCUCUUUCCCUCUCUCUCCCAAUGGCCAACAACACACAACGACUUACAGCCCCCCCCCCCCCCCCCCCUCGCCCCAACUUUUCUCCGCCGCCACAUCCAGCACGCAAGCAUUGGCGCACGCGCUCUUCCGUCUUCUCGUCCGCUACGCUCCUUACCUCACUCGGCAGAACGGGCGACGACGGCCAAGACAGUGCUGCCUCGGCGCGCUUUUUGUUGGCUGCCGUAACUUGGCUUCGUUCUCUUCUUCGUCUGAUGUUCGUUAGCUUGCGGGGCCGCAGAAGCGGGGCGACAUCUCUUGUCCCCAUUGCCGAGCCGCCGCUAGCUCUCCUGCACACGUCCCACACACGAACGCAGAGACACGCACGCCUGCUCAUCACCGCGUACUCUGCAAGAAGCAUGUCUCUCGGUAGCCAUGCGGAGCGCGGCCUCCCCCUGUCGGCUUCGCCGCAAAGGAUUAGCAGGUGGACGGGGUAAUCGCUGGAGCCAAGGCGGCGGCGGCAGCCUCAGCGUGUGAGGGUAGCGUUUCCAACAUUGCGAAACCGGCCUGGUGGGUUGCUGUGUUUCCGCACAGCGAGUACGCCGACGCUGGCAGCUACUACAGGGGCCUGCUGUGCCACAUCCAAACGAAGAGCAUUUUUCUCUUCGGUGAUGCUCACCGGGCCUAUCUGCUAAACUGGCUGAACAAUACCACCUUCGGCGUCUCAAAUGCGUGGGUGAUGCCGCACAGCCCUGCGAAGGUGUUGGUGAUGCGCGAGAGGCUCAUGGAGGAGUUGCCCAAAUACAUACACGAGGUUCACGGAGAGAUGCAGCGCAUCGAGUCCUCGAUCGAAGCCAUCAUUCCAGUUCCUGCGGCGCCACAACAAGGACAUCGAUAUCGUGCCAAUCGCAGCGUCGUAUAUGUCUUGUGCCCCUAAUGGUGCGAAUCGCGUUCGCUCUCGGGCACACCAUUGCGAAGGCGACCGUCAACCACCAGAUGAAGUGGGCAGGGACUUUGCCGUCGUCAUCGCGACGGACGCCGUGCACUGCGACAACGAGGACCAGUUCCCGGGCCGGCAGUACGCGCAGUUCAGCACGGAUCAGGAGGCCCAGCAGCUGGCGGUGGAGCACGGGCACAAAAUUAUCGACGGCUGCCUCGAGGGAGAGCUCGACGUGUCGCGGGUGAUGACAAUCUGCGACUAAACCAUCUCUAAGGAGGACUUCCACGAGUAGAAGCGGAUGCGUUGCGGCCGAUACGUGGUGCCCUGCGGCCCGCUGACCAGCUACCUUUCCCGCAACAGAGCCAAAAGGCGGCGCCACUGGAGGGUGUGCUCUCGCCUUAAGGCACCAGCGUUGGCAGUCGAGAUCACAUUUGUGAGGGAGAUAUCAACACAUGGGCACCACCGCACCCGCAAACCUGCGCCGCGGGGUCAGCUUCGCCAGCGCCGGCUGCGAGUAAAAGUGCGGCUCGGCUUUCCUACUCUCCUCACUCGCUGCCUCGCUGCGUUUCUCGCGUGAGCUGCGCGGCAAUCAUUGAAACGCCAACUGACACCCGCAUUCUUGCACAGGAAAAACGAAAGGAAGGGAACGGAGCGCCAACGGCGCGGGGGCGCGUUUGGGCCACGGCGGGCUGCAGAAACACGAAAAGAUCCAACGACGAGAGACGUAAGGCAACACGACCGGUGCUGUCCUCCGCACAGGUGUCCGGCACGUAUACUUUUUGUGCUGUUACGCGGGUAUUGGCGGGUAGGAAAGUGGAGAGGGCCACUUGAGUGCCGCUGACCGCCGCGGCGUGUGCGGGCGGUGUGCGUCGCAAGGACGGCGCCUCAGGUGCCGUCAGAUUGCUCGUGUGUGUGUGUGGGGGGGGGAGGUGGAUACGUGCGCGCAUGCGCGGAUAUCAAGCAGUCCGGGCAGAAACACAUCUGCCUGUCGCCUGCGCAUCGACUUCGUCUUCAUCUUCAGCCCUGCCUUCGGCCAAGAGCACAAGUGGCGCUGCGUGGCUGUGGACAGCGCACACGGCGCGCGUGCGUGCGUUUUGUUCUCCCCAUGAAGUAGGGCGACCUUGCUAGAUGCGCGCUAGCGGACGUCUUGGCCUGCGUAACGCAGCCGCACUCCUGCACCGCCUCCCUCUACAUCUCCCCUCCGUCCUCAUCCUUUGUUCCAGAGAUUGAGCCGCCGGUUCGACCGCGGCCGUUCCUGCGCCCCUUUGGUGUGUACGCGCGUGUGUCUCUGUUUGCCUCCGCCACCCUUUCACUCUCUGCAGCGGCGGAAAAAAAAAAGAAGUGUUGCUGUUGCUACUGGCUGCUACGCGUUGCCCGGUAGCGGCAGGGCGCGCACGCGCGCGCAGAUACAGAGGCGGUGAAAGCGCUCACAGCCCGACCCCUCCCCUCCUCCCUCGCCUCAAAAACAACAACAAAACAAAAUGACACCGACAACAGCGAAGGGAAACGUGCCCAGAAACAACACCAAGAGAAAAAAGAGGGCGAGAAAGAAUAGCGCUGCUGGAGGAAAGCUGGAGACGACACUUGGACUUCGUCCUGCACUUGCACGACAGCAAGCGCGACAGACUGGGGGCGGAGGAAGGGCCGAUAACCCGCGUUCCCCUUUCCUCGCUUGCCAUCAU